CCCUUAGAUGUUCUGGGCCGCACGCGCGCUACACUGAUGCAUUCAACAAGUUUUACCUUGGCCGAGAGGCCUGGGAAAUCUUUCAAAUAUGUAUCGUGAUAGGGAUAGAUUAUUGCAAUUAUUAAUCUUGAACGAGGAAUUCCUAGUAAAUGCAGAUCAUCAUUCUGCGUUGAUUACGUCCCUGCCCUUUGUACACACCGCCCGUCGCACCUACCGAUUGAAUGAUCCGGUGAAGCCUCGGGAUUGUGCCCAGAGAACUUUAUUGUGAUUUGGGUGUGAGAACUUGUCCAAACCUUAUCAUUUAGAGGAAGGUGAAGUCGUAACA
rnacentral:rRNA from 1 species